CAGCCGCCGCGGGAAUACGUAGGUCCCGAGCGUUGUCCGGAUUUAUUGGGCGUAAAGCGAGCGCAGGCGGUUUGAUAAGUCUGAAGUUAAAGGCUGUGGCUCAACCAUAGUUCGCUUUGGAAACUGUCAAUCUUGAGUGCAGAAGGGGAGAGUGGAAUUCCAUGUGUAGCGGUGAAAUGCGUAGAUAUAUGGAGGAACACCGGUGGCGAAAGCGGCUCUCUGGUCUGUAACUGACGCUGAGGCUCGAAAGCGUGGGGAGCAAACAGGAUUAGAUACCCCUGUAGUCCCUGUCUCUUAUACA
rnacentral:rRNA from 1 species